rnacentral:rRNA from 1 species
CACUGCUAUCGGGAUUCGACUAAGCCAUGCGAGUCGUGAGGGUUCGGCCCUCGGCAGACGGCUCAGUAACACGUAGAUAAUUUGCCCUUAGGUGGAGGAUACCCUCGGGAAACUGAGAAUAAUACUCCAUAGAUCUAGACUGCUGGAAUGCUUUUAGAUUGAAAGAUUUAUCGCCUAAGGAUAAGUCUGCGGACUAUCAGGUUGUAGUCAGGGUAACUACCUGACUAGCCUACGACGGAUACGGGUAGUGAGAGCUUUAGCCCGGAGAUGAUAUCUGAGACACGAUAUCAGGCCCUACGGGGCGCAGCAGGCGCGAAAACUUCGCACUGUGCGAAAGCACGACGAGGGAAUCCCAAGUGCUGGCUCGUAAGAGUCAGCUGUUUCUCUGUCUAAAAAACAGAGAGAGUAAGGGCUGGGUAAGACGGGUGCCAGCCGCCGCGGUAAUACCUGCAGCUCAAGUGGUGGCCGCUAUUAUUGGGCCUAAAACGUCCGUAGCCGGUU